GACGACACUCAGACACACUGUUCAGACUUACAAUUUCCUCCAGCAAUUAGGAUCGUUUUCUUGCUCAAUCGAAUGAUUGAUUUAUUUGUUUAGUUUUACUUGUAUAUUGAUCUGGUGCCAGCAGCCGCGGUAACUCCAGGUCCAAAAUAGUAUAUUAGAUUUGCUUAGUUAAAAUGCUCGUAGUUGGAUCUGGGUCGUGCGGUCGCAUGCCAUCUCUUGUUCACUGUUUUAGGUGUGAUCAGGACCGGUGUUUUGCUCGGUGUAGUGACUUGUUGGUAUGCUUCCGGAUGCUUUUAAACGGGUGUCGAGAGCGGACGGCAUCUCUACUUUGAGUGCUCAAAGCAGGCCUAUGAGCCUGAAAAUCCCUGCAUGGAAUAAUAAAAUAGGACUUCGUUUCUGUUCGAAUGAAGCAUACACCUAGCUUCGUUCUGGACUGAAUGUACUCUGGCUUAGUGCUAUUUUCUUUAGGCUUCAGCGGUUAUUG
rfam:Schistosoma curassoni strain Dakar, Senegal genome assembly, scaffold: SCTD_scaffold0017855